CCGCUUCAUGGAACUUACUUCUUACAUAAGAUUCAAACCACUGCAUCCAGAGAAUGAAGUCAUCUGAAGAUAUGGUCCACAUGGGAUUUGUCUCCUCCAUGGAGACCAGUGACCUCACAUCAUCGAAGACCAAGGCCCAUUUCUCAGAUCUCCUCGUCCUGCCCUCUAAGCAGCAUCCAGAAUUACUAGCCUCACCCUCCUCCUCAAUAUUUCCCUGGCCUGCCUUCUCCCUCUCUGGCUUCUCAGACUUCUUUAUAGGUUCAAACGGCUCCACCCCACCAUUAGCUAUUAAAAUCCCUCCAAGGCUCACAUCGGUAGGUGCUCAAUAAAGGUUCUUGACUGGACGGUAAACUGCUAACAUCAAUGAACUGCUAGAAAACAGAUUCUCCCAGACUCCCAUUUUAUACACACCCUACAGACUGAAUCUCAGAUUCUCUAAUCAGCAGGUGA
rnacentral:lncRNA from 1 species